UGGUUCCGGCAUCGAUGAAGAACGCAGCGAACUGCGAUAAGUAAUGUGAAUUGCAGAAUUCAGUGAAUCAUCGAGUCUUUGAACGCACAUUGCGCCCCCUGGCAUUCCGGGGGGCAUGCCUGUCCGAGCGUCAUUGCUGCCCAUCAAGCCCGGCUUGUGUGUUGGGUCGUCGUCCCCCCCGGGGGACGGGCCCGAAAGGCAGCGGCGGCACCGUGUCCGGUCCUCGAGCGUAUGGGGCUUUGUCACCCGCUCGAUUUAGGGCCGGCCGGGCGCCAGCCGACGUCCAACCAUUUUUCUUCAGGUUGACCUCGGAUCAGGUAGGGAUACCCGCUGA
rnacentral:misc_RNA from 1 species